UAGUCCAGGGAUAGAAAUUGGAUUGC
rnacentral:piRNA from 1 species